GACAAAACAUUCUCACUCCCCUCGCGUAAAAUGCAGAUGUCUGAUCAGAUGCCUUUGGCGUUGAUAUUGACGCUAAAAGUGUCCUUUAGGGUCAUAUGUAAACCUGCUUGGUCGGGACUAUUUUUGACACAGUUAGGUAAA